GGCAGGAUGGCCGAGUUGGUUAUGGCGCCAGGUUAAGGUUAACCUUGACAUCUCUUCCUGGUGGGGCAACCCUCGUGGGUUCAAAUCCCACUCCUGUCA
rnacentral:tRNA from 1 species